rnacentral:lncRNA from 1 species
CAGGCACUGAACUUUGGGCCCUGCAUGCAUGCUCUCAUUUCUUCCCAUUUCAGAUGGCCACCAUUAUUUCUGUUUUAUGGGAGAGGUCUGUUGGCAAAGAGUCGGCCACCCAGAUUUACCACAUUUCUCUGCAGAACACUCUUUUGUUCAAUAUAAGCAGAGACCUUCCACCGGGGGCAGGAUUUGUGGUGAGUCCAAUACCCCUUUGUACUUGAUGAGUUUCUGGAUGCCUUUUGAGUCCAGCUCAUGUGGGUGCUAUUUGCAGUUAAAUUAAAAUGUUUGGGAAUGGGAUGGAAGGGAGAGAGAGGGAGUUAUAAGAAAGGAGGUGUAGAAUGCUGUCUUAGCCAAGACUUAAGACAAUUGGCACAAAGAUCCCGCCUAGUGGAGGAGAGCUGUGAAAUUGUGGCCUCUACCAAUGCUGAGUUUAGCCUUGAUACCCUCUCCCCUCCCUCCCUCCUUCCCACCCACAGCCUUCUUUUUGCCCUGGGCCUUUUCUCUUUCAUCCUAUUUCCUUGUCUUGGCAUGAAACCUGGGCCCCUGGCUGUCAGUACCUUCAGAGUGUUUGAAACUACCAGCUGAAACCUUUCUCCUAACAAGAUAAGAACCUUCUGCUGGUGCCUUCUGAAAACCCAGAUAGGACUGAGAACUGACCUGUUUAACUCAUCAACUCCUUAUUAGAUACCUGCAGUGAGCCAAGGACCAGGCUAGUUCCUGUGAUGCUGAAGAUGUUGAAGGGAAGCCCAUAACAUUACAACGUUGACCAAUCCUCCAGAAAAGAAGCUCUAACAGAGGACCCUGGCUGUCUACGGGGUUGGUUUCCAUCUCUCCAUUCGUGAGCUCCUUGAAGGCAGAGAACACUUGGCUUUUCUUCCUAUACCUCCAGUCCCUAAUGCAGGGACAUGAGAGAUGCCCAUUUGUGUUUGAUGAAUGAAUGAGUGAAUAAAUGAAUGAAUGAGUGCCUGGAGAUCAGAGUACAUGGGAUGAGUGUUCGGAGUUCUACAGACUCAGG